ACUCCUACGGGAGGCAGCAGUGGGGAAUAUUGCACAAUGGGCGCAAGCCUGAUGCAGCCAUGCCGCGUGUAUGAAGAAGGCCUUCGGGUUGUAAAGUACUUUCAGCAGUGAGGAAGGCGGGUACGUUAAUAGUCGUGCUCGUUGACGUUAGCUGCAGAAGAAGCACCGGCUAACUCCGUGCCAGCAGCCGCGGUAAUACGGAGGGUGCGAGCGUUAAUCGGAAUUACUGGGCGUAAAGCGCAUGCAGGUGGUUUGUUAAGUCAGAUGUGAAAGCCCGGGGCUCAACCUCGGAAUAGCA
rnacentral:rRNA from 1 species